rnacentral:rRNA from 1 species
GGCAGCAGUGGGGAAUAUUGCACAAUGGGCGAAAGCCUGAUGCAGCGACGCCGCGUGAGGGAUGAAGGCCUUCGGGUUGUAAACCUCUUUCAGUAGGGAAGAAGCGACUGGGUUCUCUCAGACGUGACGGUACCUGCAGAAGAAGCGCCGGCUAACUACGUGCCAGCAGCCGCGGUAAUACGUAGGGCGCAAGCGUUGUCCGGAAUUAUUGGGCGUAAAGAGCUCGUAGGCGGUUUGUCGCGUCUGGUGUGAAAACUCAAGGCUCAACCUUGAGCUUGCAUCGGGUACGGGCAGACUAGAGUGUGGUAGGGGUGACUGGAAUUCCUGGUGUAGCGGUGGAAUGCGCAGAUAUCAGGAGGAACACCGAUGGCGAAGGCAGGUCACUGGGCCACUACUGACGCUGAGGAGCGAAAGCGUGGGGAGCUUUUUGGAU